GGCAGGGUAGCCUAGUGGUUAGAGUGUAGAGGUGGCAGGUAGCCUAGUGGUUAGAGUGUAGGGGUGGCAGGUAGCCUAGUGGUUAGAGUGUAGAGGUGGCAGGUAGCCUAGUGGUUAGAGUGUAGAGGCGGCAGGGUAGCCUAGUGGUUAGAGUGUAGAGGUGGCAGGUAGCCUAGUGGUUAGAGUGUAGUGGUGGCAGGUAGCCUAGUGGUUAGAGUGUAGAGGUGGCAGGUAGCCUAGGGGUUAGAGUGUAGAGGUGGCAGGUAGCCUAGUGGUUAGAGUGUAGAGGUGGCAGGUAGCCUAGUGGUUAGAGUGUAGAGGUGGCAGGUAGCCUAGUGGUUAGAGUGUAGAGGUGGCAGGUAGCCUAGUGGUUAGAGUGUAGAGGUGGCAGGUAGCCUAGUGGUUAGAGCAUUGG
ensembl:lncRNA